GACGAACGCUGGCGGCGUGCUUAACACAUGCAAGUCGAACGGAAAGGCCUGCUUUCCCUUGUGGAUUGCGGGUGCUCGAGUGGCGAACGGGUGAGUAACACGUGAGUGAUCUGCCCCCAACUUGGGUAUAAGCCCGGGAAACUGGGUCUAAUUCCCGAUAGGACUGCAGGGUGGUGCCUGUGGUGGAAAACGAUUUUCUAGUGGUUGGGGAUGAGCUCGCGGCCUAUCAGCUUGUUGGUGGGGUAAUGGCCUACCAAGGCGGCGACGGGUAGCCGGCCUGAGAGGGUGGACGGCCCCAUUGGGACUGAGAUACGGCCCCGACUCCUACGGGAGGCAGCAGUGGGGAAUAUUGCACAAUGGGCGGAAGCCUGAUGCAGCGACGCCGCGUGGGGGAUGACGGCCUUCGGGUUGUAAACUCCUUUCGACCGCGAGGAAGCCACCUGGUUGGAAGGGUGGUGACGGUAGUGGUAGAAGAAGCACCGGCUAACUACGUG
rnacentral:rRNA from 1 species